AUUGAACGCUGGCGGAAUGCUUUACACAUGCAAGUCGAACGGCAGCACGGACUUCGGUCUGGUGGCGAGUGGCGAACGGGUGAGUAAUGUAUCGGAACGUGCCCAGUCGUGGGGGAUAACGUAGUGAAAAUUACGCUAAUACCGCAUACGAUCUAUGGAUGAAAGCGGGGGAUCGCAAGACCUUGCGCGAUGGGAGCGGCCGAUAUCAGAUUAGGUAGUUGGUGGGGUAAAGGCCCACCAAGCCAACGAUCUGUAGCUGGUCGGAGAGGACGACCAGCCACACUGGAACUGAGACACGGUCCAGACUCCUACGGGAGGCAGCAGUGGGGAAUUUUGGACAAUGGGCGAAAGCCUGAUCCAGCCAUUCCGCGUGCAGGAUGAAGGCCCUCGGGUUGUAAACUGCUUUUGUACAGAACGAAAAGGUUUCUACUAAUACUAGGAGCUCAUGACGGUACUGUAAGAAUAAGCACCGGCUAACUACGUGCCAGCAGCCGCAGUAA
rnacentral:rRNA from 1 species